AUACGGAGGAUCCGAGCGUUAUCCGGAUUUAUUGGGUUUAAAGGGUGCGUAGGUGGUUUGAUAAGUCAGCGGUGAAAGUUUGCAGCUUAACUGUAAAAAUGCCGUUGAAACUGUCGGACUUGAGUGUAAAUGAGGUAGGCGGAAUGCGUGGUGUAGCGGUGAAAUGCAUAGAUAUCACGCAGAACUCCGAUUGCGAAGGAAGCUUACUAAGCUACAACUGACACUGAAGCACGAAAGCGUGGGGAUCAAACAGGAUUAGAUACCCUGGUAGUCCACGCAGUAAACGAUGAUUACUAGCUGUUUGCGAUACACAGUAAGCGGCACAGCGAAAGCGUUAAGUAAUCCACCUGGGGAGUACGCCGGCAACGGUGAAACUCAAAGGAAUUGACGGGG
rnacentral:rRNA from 1 species